AACGAACGCUGGCGGCAUGCCUAACACAUGCAAGUCGAACGACACCUUCGGGUCUGGUGGCGCACGGGUGCGUGACGCGUGGGAAUAUGCCCUUGGGCUCGGCCUAACGGUUGGGAACGACUGCUAAUACCGGAAGUUAUCGUAAGUCCAAAGGGUUAUCGCCCAAGGAGGAGCCUCCGUAGGAUUAGCUUGUUGGUGAGGUAAAGCCGCACCACAGGGAGGAUACUUAGCUGGUCAGCGAGGAUGAGCAGCGACACUGGGGGUGAGACACGGCCCAGAAUCCUACGGGAGGCAGGAGUGGGGAAUAUAGGACAGUGGGGGGUGGGCUGAUGCAGCAAGGGUGGGUGAGUGAUGAAGGCGGUAGGGUAGUAAAGUGUGCUUAUACGGGAGGAUAAUGACGGUACCGGGAGAAUAAGCACCGGCUAACUACGUG
rnacentral:rRNA from 1 species